GAUGAACGCUGGCGGCGUGCCUAAUACAUGCAAGUCGAACGAGGUGCUUUUGUAGCAAUACGAGAGUAUCCUAGUGGCGAACGGGUGAGUAACGCGUUGGUGACCUACCCCAAAGUGUGGGAUAACAGUCCGAAAGGAUUGCUAAUACCGCAUGUGGUCAUUGGAUUUAGAAACUGAUGACUAAAGGAGCAAUUCGCUUUGGGAGGGACCUGCGUCCCAUCAGCUAGUUGGUGAGGUAAUGGCUCACCAAGGCGACGACGGGUAGGGGACCUGAGAGGGUGACCCCCCACAAUGGAACUGAAACACGGUCCAUACACCUACGGGUGGCAGCAGUAGGGAAUAUUGCUCAAUGGGCGAAAGCCUGAAGCAGCAACGCCGCGUGUGUGAUGAAGGCCUUCGGGUCGUAAAGCACUUUUCUGGGAGAUGAGAAAGGACAGUAUCCCAGGAAUAAGUCUCGGCUAACUACGUGCCAGCAGCCGCCGCCGUAA
rnacentral:rRNA from 1 species